CCUCCUAGAUCAUCCGAUACUUCCAAGCAACCAGGUGUUCCUUUCAGAAUGGAAACGCUGAUAACCUGUGCUUUUAGAAGCUGACAUUCAGCCUUUUUUUUUUUUUUUUUUUUUUUUUUUUUUGCCAUGGAUGUAGGGGGUAGGAUUCUUCCCACUGUGUGCAAAAGUCAACCAAACUCAUCUAUCACCAAACUAAGGAGAGUCUUAGACGGGAUGGACAUAAUAGAAGAAGCAGAAGAAUAACUCCCCAGCCCUCCUGCAUCUACUUAACCCACUCUGUAAGAGCUAGAGUCAGAUUCCCACCGUAUGGAAUUAUCCUCAGCACAGCAGAUGGGUUUACAAGUGUCUUGGUCUCUUCGUGUAAUUAGCAGCCAAGGAGUCUAAAUCUUGCAUUGUUUACACAGAGAGUGUUUCUUGCCCGUUCCCACGUCAUACCAUCUGACACUGUUACCUUUUAUAUCUGGUGAGUGCAGUUCCUUAACUUUGUGGGAUCCUCCGCAUACAAACUCUGUUGGAC
rnacentral:lncRNA from 1 species